rnacentral:rRNA from 1 species
ACCAUCCCUUGACAUCCAGUGAAUUUUCCAGAGAUGGAUUAGUGCCUUCGGGAACACUGAGACAGGUGCUGCAUGGCUGUCGUCAGCUCGUGUUGUGAGAUGUUGGGUUAAGUCCCGCAACGAGCGCAACCCUUAUCCUUAGUUGCCAGCACGUAAUGGUGGGAACUCUGGGGAGACUGCCGGUGAUAAACCGGAGGAAGGUGGGGACGACGUCAAGUCAUCAUGGCCCUUACGGGAUGGGCUACACACGUGCUACAAUGGCGCAUACAAAGGGCAGCAAGCCAGCAAUGGUUAGCGAAUCUCAUAAAGUGCGUCGUAGUCCGGAUUGGAGUCUGCAACUCGACUCCAUGAAGUCGGAAUCGCUAGUAAUCGUGGAUCAGAAUGCCACGGUGAAUACGUUCCCGGGCCUUGUACACACCGCCCGUCACACCAUGGGAGUGGGCUGCACCAGAAGUGGUUAGUUUAACCUUCGGGAGAACGAUCACCACGGUGUGGUUCAUGACU